rnacentral:tRNA from 1 species
GAUGGUGUAGCUUAGCGGUAGAGCACGUGCCUAGCAUGCAUGAGGUCCAGGGUUCAAUCCCCAGGACCUCCA